GAUGAACGCUGGCGGCGUGCUUAACACAUGCAAGUCGAACGGAAAGGCCCUGCUUGCCGGGUACUCGAGUGGCGAACGGGUGAGUAACACGUGGGUGCUCUGCCCUGCACUUCGGGAUAAGCCUGGGAAACUGGGUCUAAUACCGGAUAGGAGCCAUUUUUAGAGUGAUGGUUCGAAAGUUUUUUCGGUGUUGGAUGAGCUCGCGGCCUAUCAGCUUGUUGGUGGGGUAAUGGCCUACCAAGGCGGCGACGGGUAGCCGGACUGAGAGGGUGGACGGCCACAUUGAGUCUUAGGGGCGGCCCAGACUGCGACUGGAGGCAGCUGGGGGGAAGAUUGCACAAGCAGCGCAGGCCGGGUGCAGCAGGGCCGCGUGGGGGAAAACGGCCUUCGGGUUGAAGACAACUUUCGCUAGAAACGAAGCUUUUUGUGACGGUACCUAGAGAAGAAGCACCGGCUAACUACGUG
rnacentral:rRNA from 1 species